CAGCUUUAGAAAUGUGUCUUAAUAUGCUACUGAUUACUACAACUGUCGUGUGGUGAGGUUGGAUCUUUCACGUUGCAAUGUUGCGACAAUUCAAAACACUGAUAAAAAAACUUUUACAUGUUUAAGGUGGACUGAAGAACAUUAAUCUAUAUUAAUGAAAGGAGGAGACACUAUUGAGACCAAAUUGUUUUUUUUUAUUUCAUUAAAUCCAAAACAACCCAAAACCUUCCUAUGUUUCUGUCUGUUUAACAUGUUACAUUUUCUCUGGUUGCUAUAGAAAAUCUUUUGUUUCAAGCAUAGUUCCCAAUUAUUCAUCAAUCUGUGACAUUAUCCUUCUGCCCAAUAAUCUCAUCUAAUUUCUAGGUGUGUGACCCAGAGACAGCUCAGCACGGCCACAGGACGGCCGCAGCUGUCAGUGCACGUCUUGGCAACAACGUCCCAUCACCCAAAUAAACCAGGUGUCAUGUGACCUGCAGGCACAGCCUUGGCUUGAUACUAAUCUGACCUUCCAAGUUUCAUGACACAAAGGUUGUGUUGAUAACAGUUUUGAACAGGCUACUACCACACCAGACCGUCUGAGGUCUAGUGGAGCAAAUCUCUGAAGAUGACAAAAGUGACAAAACACUUAGCAUGACUUUUGCUUGUUUUCUCUUUCAAAGUGUGUGUCAACGUUUUUUGAGUCUUUAAUUUAUUUUGCAUGAGUGUCGAUAUUAAUAUUUACACUCAUGGGUAUGCAUGUGGCAGAUGCUUUUAUCCAAAGCAACUUACAACUGAGGAUAUAACAAUGCAGUCAAUAUCAAAGCUACCGUAAUAAGAAGGAAGAGCACAGUCAGAGAUGACAGUGUAAAGACAGUGUCAGCACAGCCAAGGGAGCAGAGAAUUACAGGGCAGGAGAUCAUCUCUGAAGAGCUGCAUCAGUCCAGUUCACAACAAUUGUCAUCUCAAGGCUAGCUUUACUGCUGAGACAUUUAUCCAGCUUUACUAUAAUGGUAAGAGCCAGAGAGCUGACUGAGGUCACCAGAAAGAAAACUAUAGCAGUUUAUCAGUCUGGUUUAGAGAGCUCUUAAAACUACCUGAAAUCACUCUUUCCAACAGUACAGAAAACAUCAGGACAACUGCCAACAUGCCAAAGUCUGCCUGUCCCAGCAAGUUCACCCAGAAGACUCAUCACAAGACAAUAAUAAAACUUUCCAAAAAAACAUCUAAUGUCCUGACAGGACUUACAGAAGGCGUUUGAGACUUUUCUUAUGAGGAGAAAACGUUUGCUCUCAAAGAAACACAUUAAGGCCAGGAGAUUUUACAAAGGUCUUAGUCUUUGUAAACUAAGACAAAGACCAGGUGUAGCAGCUCCCCAGCAUUUAAAUUACUCAGCCAGUCUCAACAGGUGAAUUUAGCGUUUUAUUUUCUUUGAUGAAGAUCAACCAUGAUCAUCACAGUCUCCACAAUGACCUCAGUCACCGUGAAAACUAAAACAUAUACAAAUAUCAGAAUACAAAACAUAAACUUACAAUACAAACAACAAAACAAAAUGUACCUCGCUACUUUCACUGGGGAACACUAAGAGUUGAUUUCUUUGUGAAAAAACACAUCUUGACAGUUCAAGUCAUUCAUUGGCACAAUUAUUCUACCUGCUUUUAUAGGGCCUGCCCUCAUUAGCUAUGGCAGCCAGUGAGGUACAUACAAAAAACCCCCAAAACAUUACAAAUGCAAAUACCAUUAAACAAAACAAAAUAUAAGCCACCGACAAUGCUAAUCAAAACAGACAAACAUCCAUAAACAAUGUGCAACAUUCUUAAUUUAUAAAAUUCACUUUGAAUAAUUUACUUUAAAUAGUCUACAAAUUGAAAUAAUUUAGACAAUUUAUUUUAAAUAGCUCACUAUCCAUUACACCAGGACUUCUGGAAUAAGCACUUUUGGACUAAAACUGAACUAUGUUGACAUGGGAAAAGAAGCCAUUUAGCCUGAAUCAAACACAGGAUUCUCAGAUUCCAUGAACAAAACUGCAGACAUACUUUGAAGCAUAGAGGUGGAAGUGUCAUGCUUUGAGGAUGCUUUGUUGCAGAAGGUCUUUGAGAAAAUGUGCAACCACCUGAAAAAUAAUUAAACCUGAAGCAGAAAACAACCCAGCAAACUGUCACAAACCUAAAACCCAGCAGAGCCACAAAUUCUCAGGCUGAGAAUGUGGAGAUGG